rnacentral:rRNA from 1 species
CCUACGGGUGGCAGCAGUGAGGAAUAUUGGUCAAUGGCCGAGAGGCUGAACCAGCCAAGUCGCGUGAGGGAAGACGGCCCUACGGGUUGUAAACCUCUUUUGUCGGGGAGCAAAGCGAGUCACGUGUGACUCAUUGAGAGUACCCGAACAAAAAGCAUCGGCUAACUCCGCGCCAGCAGCCGCGGUAAUACGGAGGAUGCGAGCGUUAUCCGGAUUUAUUGGGUUUAAUGGGUGCGCAGGCGGAGGGGCAAGUCAGCGGUAAAAUUGUGGGGCUCAACACCGUACUGCCGUUGAAACUGCAUCUCUGGAGUGCGAGAGAAGUACGCGGAAGGCGUGGUGUAGCGGUGAAAUGCGUAGAGAUCACGCAGAACCCCGAUUGCGAAGGCAGCCUGCCAAGACAUGACUGACGCUGAUGCACGAAAGCGUGGGGAUCAAACAGGAUUAGAUACCCUAGUAGUC